CCCUGGGAUGGGUUGCAAAAUAGUAGGUAGCUUAACCUUCGGGAGGGCGCUUACCACUUUGUGAUUCAUGACUGGGGUGAAGUCGUAACAAGG
rnacentral:rRNA from 1 species